rnacentral:rRNA from 1 species
GGGAACGAUAACGGCGUCGAGCGGCGGACGGGUGAGUAAUGCCUAGGAAAUUGCCCUGAUGUGGGGGAUAACCAUUGGAAACGAUGGCUAAUACCGCAUGAUGCCUACGGGCCAAAGAGGGGGACCUUCGGGCCUCUCGCGUCAGGAUAUGCCUAGGUGGGAUUAGCUAGUUGGUGAGGUAAGGGCUCACCAAGGCGACGAUCCCUAGCUGGUCUGAGAGGAUGAUCAGCCACACUGGAACUGAGACACGGUCCAGACUCCUACGGGAGGCAGCAGUGGGGAAUAUUGCACAAUGGGCGCAAGCCUGAUGCAGCCAUGCCGCGUGUGUGAAGAAGGCCUUCGGGUUGUAAAGCACUUUCAGUCGUGAGGAAGGUAGUGUAGUUAAUAGCUGCAUUAUUUGACGUUAGCGACAGAAGAAGCACCGGCUAACUCCGUGCCAGCAGCCGCGGUAAUACGGAGGGUGCGAGCGUUAAUCGGAAUUACUGGGCGUAAAGCGCAUGCAGGUGGUUUGUUAAGUCAGAUGUGAAAGCCCGGGGCUCAACCUCGGAAUAGCAUUUGAAACUGGCAGACUAGAGUACUGUAGAGGGGGGUAGAAUUUCAGGUGUAGCGGUGAAAUGCGUAGAGAUCUGAAGGAAUACCGGUGGCGAAGGCGGCCCCCUGGACAGAUACUGACACUCAGAUGCGAAAGCGUGGGGAGCAAACAGGAUUAGAUACCCUGGUAGUCCACGCCGUAAACGAUGUCUACUUGGAGGUUGUGGCCUUGAGCCGUGGCUUUCGGAGCUAACGCGUUAAGUAGACCGCCUGGGGAGUACGGUCGCAAGAUUAAAACUCAAAUGAAUUGACGGGGGCCCGCACAAGCGGUGGAGCAUGUGGUUUAAUUCGAUGCAACGCGAAGAACCUUACCUACUCUUGACAUCCAGAGAACUUUCCAGAGAUGGAUUGGUGCCUUCGGGAACUCUGAGACAGGUGCUGCAUGGCUGUCGUCAGCUCGUGUUGUGAA